CAACCUCAAAUUAAGUGAGACUACCCGCUAAAUUUAAGCAUAUUAUUAAGCGGAGGAAAAGAAACUAACAAGGAUUUCCAUAGUAGCAGCGAGCGAACUGGAAAAAGCCCAGCACUGAAUCAUUAGUAUUUUUAUAUUAAUGAAAUGUAGUGUUUAAGAAGGUUUUAAAUUCUAAGGUAUUAUUUAUUUGUUCAAGUUUAUCUUGAAUGGGGCCAAGGUCCAUAGAAGGUGCCAGGCCCGUAGAAGCAAAUAUAUGCCUUAGAAAAACCUUUCUUUAGAGUGCAACCUUAAGUGGGUGGUAAGCUCCAUCUAAGGCUAAAUAUGACCACGAGACCGAUAGCAAACAAGUACCGUGAGGGAAAGUUGAAAAGAACUUUGAAGAGAGAGUUCAAAAGUACGUGAAACCGUUUAGGGGUAAACGAAAAAGAACUGAAAAUCCGAAAAGGGAGAUUCACGUCUUCUCGUAUGUUAAGAAUAGUAUUAUUUUAGGAUAACUAAUGGCCUAUACAUUUUUAUAAUGUAUUAGUGUUAUUAAUUGCCUAAAUAUAUUAUGACUAGCAACGGUGGACCGCACUUCUCUCUUAGUAGGACGUCGCGACCCGCUAGUUAAAAUUCUAAGUUCAAACUUUUAAAGAUUUAUUAUAUUAAUUUAAAAUUAUGAUUUUUCAUAUAUUUUUUUUUUUAUAUAAUAAAUUGGUUUGUUACUGAUUUUAUAUGCUGGCGGUAUAAAACGGCAGUGGUGAGCCGGUUAUUUUUUUUUAACCGUUUAAUGAAAUUAAUAAUUAUUAAUUAAUAGUAAAUUAGGAAUUUUUAUUCCUUUAUAUUUACUAUAUUAUUAGUAUUAAUUUUAAUUUAAACAGUGCUUACAACACUAGUCGGCGGCGCUACAGUUUCAGUAACUUUUUCGACCCGUCGAAACACCCAAGGAGUCUAACAUGUGCGCAAGUCAUUGGGUGAUAAAACCUAAAGGCAUAACAAAAGUAAAGAAAGCUUUGCUUUAUUAGGGAGGAUGGUUAUAUAUUUUUUUAAUUAUAACCCGCACUCCUGGGGCGUCUAUUACUCAUUGCGAGUAAGGGCGCACCAAGAGCGUACACGUUGGGACCCGAAAGAUGGUGAACUAUGCUUGGCCAGGAUGAAGCCAGGGGAAACUCUGGUGGAGGUCCGUAGCGAUUCUGACGUGCAAAUCGAUCGUCAGAGCUAAGUAUAGGGGCGAAAGACUAAUCGAAGCAUCUAGUAGCUGGUUCCCUCUGAAGUUUCCCUCAGGAUAGCUGGUGCCAAUGAUGAGACGAGUCUCAUCCGGUAAAGCGAAUGAUUAGAGGCCUUGGGGCCGAAACGACCUCAACCUAUUCUCAAACUUUAAAUGGAUGAGAGCCUUGGCUUGCUUAAAAAGUGAAGCCAGGGAUAUUUAAUGGAUCAAGGUGCCAAGUGGGCCAAUUUUGGUAAUGUGGGAUGAACCAAACGCAAAGUUAAGGCGCCUGAAUUGACGCUCAUGAGAUACCAUGAAAGGCGUUGGUUGCUUAAGACAGCAGGAGGGUGGCCAUGGAAGUCGGAAUCCCCUAAGGAGUGUGUAACAACUCACCUGCCGAAGCAACUAGCCCUGAAAAUGGAUGGCGCUGUAGCGUCAUGCCUAUACUUUGCCGUCAACGGCAAAAUAAAAAAUAAUAUAAGUAAUUAUUUUAUUCUUAAUUAAGCUUUGACGAGUAAGAGGGUCGCAGCGAUGAGCGUAGAAGGGUCUGGGCGUAAGCCUGCCUGGAGCCGUCGCUGGUGCAGAUCUUGGUGGUAGUAGCAAAUACUCCAGCGAGGCCCUGGAGGACUGUUGUGGAGAAGGGUUUCUUGUGAACAGCUGUUGCACAAGAGUCAGUCGAUCCUAAGCUCUAGGAGAAAUCCCAUGUUGAUAGGUACCAUUAAAUAUAUAUAUAUAUAAAAAAAAGAAAAAUAAAUAUUUUUUAUUUUUUUUAUUUUAUUUUUUUGUUGGUUCCUUUUGAGCGAAAGGGAAUCCGGUUCCUAUUCCGGAACCCGGCAGCGGAACCGUUCCAAUCGAGCCCUCGCACGAUGACUCGUCGGGGUGACCCAAAAGGACCCGGAGACGCCGUUGGAAGAUUUGGGGAGAGUUGUCUCUUCUCUAUAAGCGUUCGAGUUCCCUGGAAUCCUCUAGCAGGGAGAUAGGGUUUGGAACGCGAAGAGCACCGCAGUUACGGCGGUGUCCAAAUCUUUCCUUCGGACCUUGAAAAUCCGGGAGAGGGCCACGAGGAACACCGCGCCGGAUCGUACCCAUAUCCGCAGCAGGUCUCCAAGGUGAAUAGCCUCUAGUCGAUAGAAUAAUGUAGGUAAGGGAAGUCGGCAAGUUCGAUCCGUAACUUCGGGAUAAGGAUUGGCUCUGAGGAUCGUGGCGCGCCGGGCUUGGUAGGGAAGUGGAGCGGUGUCAACGAGCCGGGCCUGGGCGAGGUGAACAGUACACUUUAUUGAAUUCCUUUAUUGGGAUAAAAUAGAGAUGUAUUGG
rnacentral:rRNA from 1 species